AGUGAACGCUGGCGGUAGGCCUAACACAUGCAAGUCGAACGGCAGCACAGGAGAGCUUGCUCUCUGGGUGGCGAGUGGCGGACGGGUGAGGAAUACAUCGGAAUCUACUCUGUCGUGAGGGAUAACGUAGGGAAACUUACGCUAAUACCGCAUACGACCUACGGGUGAAAGCAGGGGACCUUCGGGCCUUGCGCGAUGGAAUGAGCCGAUGUCGGAUUAGCUAGUUGGCGGGGUAAAGGCCCACCAAGGCGACGAUCCGUAGCUGGUCUGAGAGGAUGAUCAGCCACACUGGAACUGAGACACGGUCCAGACUCCUACGGGAGGCAGCAGUGGGGAAUAUUGGACAAUGGGCGCAAGCCUGAUCCAGCCAUACCGCGUGGGUGAAGAAGGCCUUCGGGUUGUAAAGCCCUUUUGUUGGGAAAGAAAUCCAGCUGGCUAAUACCCGGUUGGGAUGACGGUACCCAAAGAAUAAGCACCGGCUAACUUCGUGCCAGCAGCCGCCGUAA
rnacentral:rRNA from 1 species